rnacentral:rRNA from 1 species
UACGAAGGGUGCAAGCGUUACUCGGAAUUACUGGGCGUAAAGCGUGCGUAGGCGGUUUGUUAAGUCUGUCGUGAAAGCCCUGGGCUCAACCUGGGAAUGGCGAUGGAUACUGGCAAGCUAGAGUACGGUAGAGGAUGGUGGAAUUCCUGGUGUAGCGGUGAAAUGCGCAGAUAUCAGGAGGAACACCAAUGGCGAAGGCAGCUCGCUGGGACGGUACUGACGCUGAGACGCGAAAGCGUGGGGAGCAAACAGG